rnacentral:lncRNA from 1 species
UUUGAAAAGAUUUUAACCAAAUUUAAUAUCCAAAUCAUAUAUUAACUCCUUCAUUCAAAUAUAUGUAGUAUUACAAAAUUGCAUAACAGAGUACCUCCUUUCUAUGGGUACUAAAAAGUAACAACAUGAACUAUUACUAUAAAACACAUAAAGUCAUGGUUACUUCUCCCAUGACUACUUAUAUACAAAUUAAGACAAUAUCUCAAAACCAAUACAACUAAAAUUGGACACUUUUGGUGUAAAUUGUAAAUUUCUUUUCAUUGCCCCCACUAUCUUGGUUGCAUAAUCAUAUGAAGAACCACCUAUAACAUGCCUUUUGCUACUUUUCAAUGUUCUUGAUCAAUUCCAACAUUUCUUUGAUCGUAAUCCCUUUUGAUCGUAUUGCUCCAAUGCAGAACCUGCUACACCAAAUUAAUCAAAUAGUUGAACAAAAAUUGAACUAGAAUCUCACUAGUUAUGCUAACAACAGACCCUAUAUACACUAGAAUGCAUAUUGCCAUUACAAAAUUAGAGUAUCACUAUCCUCUAUAAUGUAAAUGUACCAAAUUACAUCUAGCCAUUUCAUUGAAAAUUCAAUUUCAUAUCUGAACUAUCUCUUAGGAAUAUGAGAAUAAGUGAUGGUUCCUUUUACAAACUCGUUUGCUUCUUUAUUUCUCACAACUUAACAAGAUAUCCAAUACACUUCAGAAGUUUUGUCUCAGUAUAAAUAACCAUGCAGCUCAACAACAAGACUACAACAACUCUUAAAUAUAAACAACAAUACCUGGACUUCCUCUAGAUGGUAGAGGGCUGUAAAACCAAACACAGUGGUGUCUACAUAGUUAAUUGAAUAAUUAAAUUAAAUAAAAGAAGAGCUAAAAUCAAACAAUUAGAUAGGCUUACAUAAUUUAAGGUCAGAUACACAGGUUAGAAAUAACUUAAAAAGUGUAGACAAUAUGAAAUUAGUAGUAGAAAAUUGAAUUGCAAAUAACUCACAAUCAGACAAGUUAAGUUUCUAGUCAAAAUCACUUUGUGUUAAGAGUAAAUUGCUUCCUGCACCACAAUUUUCAAUUGCUUAGUAAGAUCGAAUUUGUCUGCAUAUUCUAAGAAAAUGAAUUUAAAUAUAAGCACAUAAUUAUAAUUAUUUGCCACUUAAACAUGUGUACCUUUACCUACUUGGAGUUGAGAAUUAAUGAAUGUUAACUUGAUUUUGGCAACUAUGCCCCUUUCUUGCUAAAAGUAAAUGCCAAGUUCUCUAAUGUUCACCUACACCAAAGUAGUUUGUUUUAAGGCAUGUUUCAGUUAAUUCCUUCUUCUCACUUAGUUGUACUGCAUUAUUCAUCUACACCAAAUGUUAAGAUUUCAUACAAUUGAUUAUCAAUUUCAAUUUCACAUUCAAUAUCAAUUUCAAUAACAAGGAAAGGGGCAUAACAAGUAAUUUGGCAUUUCAAUAUCAAUUUCACAUUCAAUAUUAUCCUCAUUAUUGUGAAGAAUGCAACCACUACCUAUAUUGUACAUAUCAAAAACUUCACCUCUCAGUUCCAUUUAUGAAAAUAAGUCCCCCCCAUCAUUGGUUUAUAUUUCUUAGUGCAUUACCAACAUCAUUGCAUCAUCAUUUUUCAUGAGGUUUUAGUCAAGAUGAAUUGGUUCAUUCAUACUCCAAGCAUGAGUUUUCACUCAACGUGAAUUGUUUAUCUCAUUCAUAAAACCAUUAUCCUCUACAUACUAAGUAUUAACUAGUAAUUAGUAUCUACUAUUUAGUAAUCACUAUAUUUCACAAAAACCAGCAAACCCAAAAUCAAAAUCAAGAAAGUAUAAACAAUUAUCAAAAACCUAUACACACCAAAAACCAACAAAGUGCCAUUCAAAUAUGACCAAAUCUUGUUAGGCAUGAAAUUGAACAGAAUAUGAAAAACAUGCAAAUAAUAAUCAGAAAAAUUAACAUCAAACUUCUAACUGAGCCAAGAACAGAGAAAUUUAAUUUGGGAUGAAAGAGAAUGUCAGGGUUUUGGCAAAAUUUAGGGAAACCCCAAUCUAAGUUGAAGUUGAUAAAGAGACUCACGAUAUAACAAGUUGAUGUUGUUCAACACUGUGCAAAAUACCUGCAUAAUAGUGAGUUAAGACAUUACAGUGCUUCCUCCUGCAUAAUAGCGGGAUGUUCAACCACAAUCUCAUAACUAAACAUCACAAAAAAUUCAUCCACAGCAACAAUAACAAACAAACCCAGAAAAAAAAACAAAGAAAAUAAGAAUAAACAAACCCAAACUCCUUCGACAAAUCCAUAUCUGCAUUCUACUAAUUCCUUCUCAGUGUUCAAGCUUAAGCUAAAGCAUACCGAUCAAAACCCUUAUCGUAGCCACCAACUCCGCUAGCUAAUCUCUGAAACUAUGACGCCACUGAGAUAGGGUAUCCAAAUUGAAGCCAUUAAUUUUGGUCAAAUAAAAAAUACGAGAAAUACGAUAAAGAGGAAUGUAUCAGAAACCCUAUAAAUAUAGGGAUUGAAUGGUGUGAGAGAAUAGAUUGGAAACCCUAAAAAUCUAGGGAUUGAGCGGUGAGAGAGAAUUUAUAAAGCUACAGAUUGGGGAGGAUUUAGGUGGAUUUUCGAUUGUGUGGUAUUUGAAGAGAUAUCUUUUCUGAAACUUGGAGACGGAGGAGAAGGAAGCCACACGGUGGGGUUUAACUCUCAAACUUGUUUGUGUAUGGAUGGGAUGAGAUUAGUCUUUUUUACGGGAAAAAAAAAU